CUGCAGUGGCCUUGUGUUCUCAGAGCCUCAGACAGCCAUGGUGGGGCCCAGACAGGAGGAGUAUGAGCGUAGGUGGUUUCCAUCAGGCCUGCAGUGGCCUUGUGUUCUCAGAGCCUCAGACAGCCAUGGUGGGGCCCAGACAGGAGGAGUAUGAGCGUAGGUGGUUUCCAUCAGGCCUGCAGUGGCCUUGUGUUCUCAGAGCCUCAGACAGCCAUGGUGGGGCCCAGACAGGAGGAGUAUGAGCGUAGGUGGUUUCCAUCAGGCCUGCAGUGGCCUUGUGUUCUCAGAGCCUCAGACAGCCAUGGUGGGGCCCAGACAGGAGGAGUAUGAACGUAGGUGGUUUCCAUCAGGCCUGCAGUGGCCUUGUGUUCUCAGAGCCUCAGACAGCCAUGGUGGGGCCCAGACAGGAGGAGUAUGAGCGUAGGUGGUUUCCAUCAGGCCUGCAGUGGCCUUGUGUUCUCAGAGCCUCAGACAGCCAUGGUGGGGCCCAGACAGGAGGAGUAUGAGCGUAGGUGGUUUCCAUCAGGCCUGCAGUGGCCUUGUGUUCUCAGAGCCUCAGACAGCCAUGGUGGGGCCCAGACAGGAGGAGUAUGAGCGUAGGUGGUUUCCAUCAGGUCUGCAGUGGCCUUGUGUUCUCAGAGCCUCAGACAGCCAUGGUGGGGCCCAGACAGGAGGAGUAUGAACGUAGGUGGUUUCCAUCAGGCCUGCAGUGGCCUUGUGUUCUCAGAGCCUCAGACAGCCAUGGUGGGGCCCAGACAGGAGGAGUAUGAGCGUAGGUGGUUUCCAUCAGGCCUGCAGUGGCCUUGUGUUCUCAGAGCCUCAGACAGCCAUGGUGGGCCCAGACAGGAGGAGUAUGAGCGUAGGUGGUUUCCAUCAGGUCUGCAGUGGCCUUGUGUUCUCAGAGCCUCAGACAGCCAUGGUGGGGCCCAGACAGGAGGAGUAUGAGCGUAGGUGGUUUCCAUCAGGCCUGCAGUGGCCUUGUGUUCUCAGAGCCUCAGACAGCCAUGGUGGGGCCCAGACAGGAGGAGUAUGAGCGUAGGUGGUUUCCAUCAGGUCUGCAGUGGCCUUGUGUUCUCAGAGCCUCAGACAGCCAUGGUGGGGCCCAGACAGGAGGAGUAUGAGCGUAGGUGGUUUCCAUCAGGCCUGCAGUGGCCUUGUGUUCUCAGAGCCUCAGACAGCCAUGGUGGGGCCCAGACAGGAGGAGUAUGAGCGUAGGUGGUUUCCAUCAGGCCUGCAGUGGCCUUGUGUUCUCAGAGCCUCAGACAGCCAUGGUGGGGCCCAGACAGGAGGAGUAUGAGCGUAGGUGGUUUCCAUCAGGUCUGCAGUGGCCUUGUGUUCUCAGAGCCUCAGACAGCCAUGGUGGGGCCCAGACAGGAGGAGUAUGAGCGUAGGUGGUUUCCAUCAGGCCUGCAGUGGCCUUGUGUUCUCAGAGCCUCAGACAGCCAUGGUGGGGCCCAGACAGGAGGAGUAUGAGCGUAGGUGGUUUCCAUCAGGUCUGCAGUGGCCUUGUGUUCUCAGAGCCUCAGACAGCCAUGGUGGGGCCCAGACAGGAGGAGUAUGAGCGUAGGUGGUUUCCAUCAGGCCUGCAGUGGCCUUGUGUUCUCAGAGCCUCAGACAGCCAUGGUGGGGCCCAGACAGGAGGAGUAUGAGCGUAGGUGGUUUCCAUCAGGUCUGCAGUGGCCUUGUGUUCUCAGAGCCUCAGACAGCCAUGGUGGGGCCCAGACAGGAGGAGUAUGAGCGUAGGUGGUUUCCAUCAGGCCUGCAGUGGCCUUGUGUUCUCAGAGCCUCAGACAGCCAUGGUGGGGCCCAGACAGGAGGAGUAUGAGCGUAGGUGGUUUCCAUCAGGCCUGCAGUGGCCUUGUGUUCUCAGAGCCUCAGACAGCCAUGGUGGGGCCCAGACAGGAGGAGUAUGAGCGUAGGUGGUUUCCAUCAGGUCUGCAGUGGCCUUGUGUUCUCAGAGCCUCAGACAGCCAUGGUGGGGCCCAGACAGGAGGAGUAUGAGCGUAGGUGGUUUCCAUCAGGCCUGCAGUGGCCUUGUGUUCUCAGAGCCUCAGACAGCCAUGGUGGGGCCCAGACAGGAGGAGUAUGAGCGUAGGUGGUUUCCAUCAGGCCUGCAGUGGCCUUGUGUUCUCAGAGCCUCAGACAGCCAUGGUGGGGCCCAGACAGGAGGAGUAUGAGCGUAGGUGGUUUCCAUCAGGCCUGCAGUGGCCUUGUGUUCUCAGAGCCUCAGACAGCCAUGGUGGGGCCCAGACAGGAGGAGUAUGAGCGUAGGUGGUUUCCAUCAGGUCUGCAGUGGCCUUGUGUUCUCAGAGCCUCAGACAGCCAUGGUGGGGCCCAGACAGGAGGAGUAUGAGCGUAGGUGGUUUCCAUCAGGCCUGCAGUGGCCUUGUGUUCUCAGAGCCUCAGACAGCCAUGGUGGGGCCCAGACAGGAGGAGUAUGAGCGUAGGUGGUUUCCAUCAGGCCUGCAGUGGCCUUGUGUUCUCAGAGCCUCAGACAGCCAUGGUGGGGCCCAGACAGGAGGAGUAUGAGCGUAGGUGGUUUCCAUCAGGCCUGCAGUGGCCUUGUGUUCUCAGAGCCUCAGACAGCCAUGGUGGGGCCCAGACAGGAGGAGUAUGAACGUAGGUGGUUUCCAUCAGGCCUGCAGUGGCCUUGUGUUCUCAGAGCCUCAGACAGCCAUGGUGGGGCCCAGACAGGAGGAGUAUGAGCGUAGGUGGUUUCCAUCAGGCCUGCAGUGGCCUUGUGUUCUCAGAGCCUCAGACAGCCAUGGUGGGGCCCAGACAGGAGGAGUAUGAGCGUAGGUGGUUUCCAUCAGGCCUGCAGUGGCCUUGUGUUCUCAGAGCCUCAGACAGCCAUGGUGGGGCCCAGACAGGAGGAGUAUGAGCGUAGGUGGUUUCCAUCAGGCCUGCAGUGGCCUUGUGUUCUCAGAGCCUCAGACAGCCAUGGUGGGGCCCAGACAGGAGGAGUAUGAGCGUAGGUGGUUUCCAUCAGGUCUGCAGUGGCCUUGUGUUCUCAGAGCCUCAGACAGCCAUGGUGGGGCCCAGACAGGAGGAGUAUGAGCGUAGGUGGUUUCCAUCAGGCCUGCAGUGGCCUUGUGUUCUCAGAGCCUCAGACAGCCAUGGUGGGGCCCAGACAGGAGGAGUAUGAGCGUAGGUGGUUUCCAUCAGGCCUGCAGUGGCCUUGUGUUCUCAGAGCCUCAGACAGCCAUGGUGGGGCCCAGACAGGAGGAGUAUGAGCGUAGGGGGUUUCCAUCAGGCCUGCAGUG